UACAACCCUCCAUAAAAGCUGGCCAGCGAGGCUCUCCCAUACAUUUUGGCGUGUGUUCCUAGACAGAGAGUUGCACAAUCCGACCCAAACAGAAAUUAAUGACAACCACAUCUGUCAGAAUUAGUCCAAAAAUAUACAAGACACAAUAAACAACGGACGAGAUUACAUAUUCACAGUGUGUCUGCAUUACGCGGAUAUUACGUGGUAAAACUGAAGAGAAAUUAGGUCACAUUUGCUGUCAAGUCAGACUGGAAGCAAAGUCAAAGACGGUUAUUGAUUCCAUGAAACUGGUCUUUUUGCGAUGAUGUCUUAUUUUCUUAUAAAUACAUCGUCUCUUUUUCGUUCAUUAUAGGAAAUAAAACUGAACCAAAGCUAA